UGACCAAUCACGCAAGUGGUAUUGGGGUUUGCCGUUGGCAUCCCUUAAAACUAGUGGCAGUGCUAUAGGCUCUCAGCGCAGUAAUUAUUUCGCUUUUGAGCCCUAGAACCACCCGCCAAAACCCCAACUUUUUUCAAGG
rnacentral:misc_RNA from 1 species